rnacentral:rRNA from 1 species
CAGCCGCCGCGGGAACACGUAGGGUGCAAGCGUUAAUCGGGAUUACUGGGCGUAAAGCGUGCGCAGGCGGUUCGCUAAGACAGAUGUGAAAUCCCCGGGCUUAACCUGGGAACUGCAUUUGUGACUGGCGGGCUAGAGUAUGGCAGAGGGGGGUAGAAUUCCACGUGUAGCAGUGAAAUGCGUAGAGAUGUGGAGGAAUACCGAUGGCGAAGGCAGCCCCCUGGGCCAAUACUGACGCUCAUGCACGAAAGCGUGGGGAGCAAACAGGAUUAGAUACCCUAGUAGUCCCUGUCUCUUAUAC